rnacentral:rRNA from 1 species
AUGUCAUUGCAAGUUGCAUCUUGCAGAACACAUCAAACAGCAAAGAAGAUUAGAAAAAUAGAAGACAUAACCAGAAGACAAUAUGAACACAUCAAAAUAGUAAAGACUUUUGUUUUGCUCACCCAAUUUGCAAUGCCAUUUGGCUCCCAAUUGCAGCACCAGGACCCGGACGCCCUUCACUCUCACCCAUGGAUGAUUGGCUACCGGCUGUGCCACUCGCAGAUGCCAUGGUUUGGUACCUAUCAGGCCAACAACAAGCAAUCAAUUCCUAUCAAGAACAGCAGCAGCCAGCAGCACAAGUAA